GGAAUAACGCUGGCGGCAUGCCUAAUACAUGCAAGUCGAACGCUCUCGAAUCUUCGGAUUCAAAUGAGAGAGUGGCGAACGGGUGAGUAACACGUUAAGAAACCUGCCCUUAAGACGAGGAUUACUACUGGAAACGGUAGCUAAUACUGGAUAGUACAUUUUAUCGCAUGGUGAGAUGUUUAAACGAGGCUCCUGGCCUCACUUGAGGAUGGUCUUGCGCUGCAUUAGCUAGUUGGUAAGGUAACGGCUUACCAAGGCGACGAUGCAUAGCUGGUCUGAGAGGAUGAACAGCCACACUGGGACUGAGACACGGCCCAGACUCCUACGGGAGGCAGCAGUAGGGAAUUUUCGGCAAUGGGCGCAAGCCUGACCGAGCAAUGCCGCGUGAACGAUGAAGGUCUUCGGAUCGUAAAGUUCUGUUAUUUGGGAAGAACACGUAGUCUAGGAAAUGAUUCUACGUUGACGGUACCUUAUCAGAAAGCUCCGGCUAACUACGUGCCAGCAGCCGCGGUAAUACGUAGGGAGCGAGCGUUAUCCGGAAUUAUUGGGCGUAAAGCGUGCGUAGGCGGUUUGUUUAGUCAAAUCUGAAAGCCCCCAGCUUAACUGGGGAGAGUGAUUUG
rnacentral:rRNA from 1 species